AACGUAGGAGGCAAGCGUUAUCCGGAUUCACUGGGCGUAAAGCGCGUGCAGGCGGUGCGGUAAGUUAGGCGUGAAAUCUCCCGGCUCAACUGGGAGAGGUCGUCUAAUACUACCGUACUAGAGAGCAGAAGAGGAAGAUGGAAUUCCCGGUGUAGUGGUGAAAUGCGUAGAUAUCGGGAGGAACACCAGUGGCGAAGGCGAUCUUCUGGUCUGUUUCUGACGCUCAGACGCGACAGCUAGGGUAGUAAACGGGAUUAGAGACCCCGGUAAUCCUAGCCGUAAACGAUGUGAACUUGGCGUUGGUGGGUUAAACUCCAUCAGUGCCGUAGCAAACGCGAUAAGUUCACCGCCUGGGGACUACGGCCGCAAGGUUAAA
rnacentral:rRNA from 1 species